GGCCGCCCCGGGCAGGCGCCUUCUCCCGGAAGUGAGCCUUCCUGGUGGGACUGAUGGAGGCCCGGCUCCGCAUGGUGCAUAGGACUAGAGCCGGUCCACCGGCCGCGGAGGGGCCUGGGGCCCGCUGCAGCCUAGUGCGGCCAGGUGUUGAAGAUCUCAGAUUCUUGGAGUCUCCUGCAAAGAUUGGAUGGAGAUGCACAAAAGCAGCAGAGCAAAGAAUGUGACAGUGACAAGAAGCCACAGGCCCAAGCUGUGGUUAAAAUUUCACCUUUGCUACUGUGUGAAAUUCACACCCCAGUAGUGAUGGGAAUCUGCUUUGUUCUCAGAACUCCAUGUUGCUCCCAUGGACCACUGACCACCCUCUCCCUUCUGGCUCUCAGGAAAAUUCCACCCCUAGCCUUACCUGAAAUAGUAGGACUGCCAGGGGCAUCAAGAGGUGACCCCUAUGUGAAACCCCAGACAAGAACUGUUAGCACCAUAAAUCCCAAACGGGACAGUUCUGACAAUAAAUUCCCAACAGGAAAGGACAAAGAAAUUCCAAAGAGUUUCAUCUUCAAAUGUAUAAAAACCAAACCCACCCACUCCACCCCUAGCUUUUUUUCAGCCACCCUGCUCUGUAUUCCAUGGAGUUCCUCUGCAGCAGUGAUUACAGCUUUCUCUGGUCUGCUGAGGUUUCUGCCUUUACCUGCUUUUCUCUGCUUGGUAUUUCCAACAAUCAUGACUCAGUGCCCUAACAAGUACUAGUACUCUUCCCCCAAAAAAAGAACUGCUUCAAGUCCAUACAUUCUUGCAUGACCUAAGAUGCUUUCCUUUAAGAAUUGAUUGAUUGGGAAAAAUGAGAACAAAAGGGGUGAUACUGAUCAAGACACAUUGCACUCAUAGUCUGCCUUGACUUGAACCCCCUUUUUAAAACUACUUGAAGAAAAACCUUUUAGGAAAUAUUGUGUGCGUUGAGUGUGGGGAGGUGUUGAGUGUACAUUCUAAUGUGUUUGCUGAAGACAGAAAACAUUGCUCCCCUGGAAUUGCUGUAGUUUGCAUUUACAACUCAUGAAAUGGUAGUUUGA